UAAUUUUUUUUUCUUGUAUUCCUCAACUUCCUUUUUCUUCCCUACAUCGACUUCCUCUCAACUGGAUCCACUCAAUCUUUUCACACACCCCUUCAACUCAAAACCCUAGCUCCAGGUCCAGAAUAACAAAGCAAGUAUAUUUCUUAAAGCUCCGACCUGAAUCACCAUCCGAAACUCAACCCGUGACCAGUUAGUUUUUGUCAAAAUGAGUUUUUUGAUUGAAAAAAAUCUAUUUAGGGUUUCUGGGCCGGCCAGAAAUAUUCAGUAAGAAGCGAUGAUGGAGUAAAUGAGAAGAAGUUGAAGACGGCCCGUGAGAGGAAUCUGGACAAGCUUAAGCUUCUUCCAAAGGUAGUCAACUUGAAGCCAGCAAGAAAGCUAUUAAGAUCGAGGUGAGUUGUGUAUGUUUCUCCAAGGUGAUUCGAUCACACUCGCUAAUCGCUAAAGCCGCCAGUCACCACCACUUCGAGUGACUACCAUCGCACCAACGCAUGUACUGCAAACAACAUACUGACGGGUUAUGGGCCGUGGUUGAUGUAUCUUUGGACAACUUGCACCCUUCCACAACCGCAAGAUCUAGAAGAAGGCCAUUGGGUUGUUUGAUUGAAGAACUUCCAAUGGAUAUUCGAAGGUCACAUGGGUUGAACAUGUUGAAGUCGAUGAUAGAGCUGUUCAUGACAUCUAUCGGUCACUAAUGAAUUCUGGUUUAGCAUUUGGGGCCAGACGAUGGGUAGCAACGCUUGACAGACAAUGUGAACGGCUUGCAAGCGCGAUGGCUAGCAAUAUUCCUUGAGGCGACGUUGGAGGUCGGAGAUGAAGUUUUCCUCAAAAGCAAAAGGCAUUCUAAACUCUACUGAGACUGUAGCAAGAGGAAGGGUCUAGAGCUUGGACCCAAAUGAUCUAGUUGGUGGUACAGAGAUUGGACCAGAAUGGUGUGAGGUAAACGUUAAAGUACCAAUAAAAAAAGAUGAAAACUUGGUAAGAGCAUAUGGUGGAUUUUCUACAAUUCAAGAUUGUAUUGGUGCAUCCAUCGCAUGGCCCUAUCCAUUCAUCUCGGUAGUCCAUGAGGAUUGAGGAUGCAUGAUGACUCAAGAUUUUAUGCUUCUUAUUUCUUUAAUUGCGUUUAAUUUCUUUUUGUUAAUUGUUAAGACUUUAUGUUAGAUAAUGUUAUAACUUAUUUAUGGUUAGUGUUUUUGUUAUGAACAUGCUUAUUUGAAAUAUAAUGAAAUUUUAUUUCUU
rnacentral:lncRNA from 1 species